CAAGUUCCACGGGGCGGCCUCCAGAAAGUGGGAGAGAAAACGCGAGUGGAGCUGAGUUUAGGAGGCCUGGGGAGGAGAAAAGUGAAAAUUCAGUCAGAGAAACUUUCUUUAGAUAGGCAAAGCCUGCCCAAAGAUAAGCUUGAGGGACGAGGAAAACAGCGAGAACAGCUGAUAGGCUGUCUGGGUCGCAGGGCCCACGCGGGGCCAAGAAGUGUGCGUGAGGGAAAGCCCCGCAGGCCUGCAGGCUGGGGGUGGGGAUGGGGUGAAACCUGCGGCACGGUUUUUAGCCUUGGAGUCUGGAGGAGGAGUCGAGGAGGAAAAAGUAUCUUGCAAAAGUUAGGCGCUGCAGGAAGGAGAUCCUUUUUGCUGCUCGUCUCUUGGGGCCUUCCCCUCCCCUCCCGGUUUAGGGACCAAGUCGUCAGACACGCCCUCCCCAUCCUGGGGCCCCGCGGGACCCCGCUCGGGCGCACAUUCCCGCGUUCUGGUCUCGGAGUUGGGUUCCUGGGACUCAGAUGGCCCAGCAGGCAGUACCGAGGCAAGGGAGUCGCCUCUGGAACCGGCCCUGAGCGAACACCGGAGUCCCACCUGCGCCGAGGCCCCUGAAGGCCCAAGCAGGCCCAGCUCAGCGCUUCCGCCGCGGCCUCCUCUGGGUCCGCCGGUCCCCGCCGGAGCCCGGGCCCCAACCCUGGUGUCUCCGCCCGGGGAUCCUAGCCCCCUCCCUAUGCGCGCUGCCUCUUCCCUGAGGCCGCGCACUCCCUACGGCCGGCCUGGCCGGGCCGCCUCCCCCGCCCUCCCUGUGGCCCUCAACUACCUGCCUUGGGCUCGGGGGUCCUCCUCCUCCGCUGGCGCUGCACGCGCCUCCCAGCUCCGCUCGCGACGCUGGCGCUCUCGGCCUCUUCCCCUUGCCCCCCGGCCCCUUAUGUGACCACGUCACCCUCCUCCAGUCACCAUGUCCGAACUUCCGGACCCCCUCAGAACGCUGCGCAGUCCAGCCCUUCCGUCGGAAAUCGGAGCCGGGGGACCGUUUAGGGACCGGCUGGCUGGAACCCGCGACCUGGCCCUCGCCGCGCAGGGUCCCCUCGCCGAGCGCGCCGCACGCUGCGUCCAGCCGGGCCCCAGCUGCCCGGCGCUGCCAGACUCUCAAUGAGCCGCUCGCCCGCUCUAUUGUUGCUCCUUAGGGCUCCAUUAGACAGAAUUGGACAACAAUGUGGCGCCUGCCAUUGGCCAGGGGAGGCAGACGGCGCUCUGAUUGGCGGGGCCCGCGCCCGGGGAGCCCCGCAUUCUACAGUGUCCGAAAGAUUCGAAACUCCAAAAGCUCCACCGAGUGCCUCCGGGAGGGGAGGGGGCGCGCCAGGGAAGGAGUGGAAAAAAGUGGGCAAGGAGGAGCGUUGAAAAUAUCGUGACAAGUAGUUUCCGUGCGCCCAAGAGCGUGUGAAUUGCGCCUAAUUACCGUGUCCGGUGCCUCUACGUAGACGUGUGUAACCCCUCGGCUUCUGGGGCGCGGGCUCGGCUGGGCCGCUCUCACUGGCCCGGGGCGCUUGGCAAGGCCGACCUUCCCAAGUGGCCCUGGCGGCCCGGGGGCGGGAUGGGGGCAGGUGUCAAUUCAAUUACUGUGGUCGGGGUGGGGGUGGAGAGAGGAGGGUGCAUAUGGCAUAAAUGCCAAGACGAUUUUUCCUGCCUCCUUCCGGCUCCGUUUCGGCGCGCUCCCAAGUCCGACGCGUUUGGAGUAGUUGGAGGCUAUUUUGUUUUUUCCCCUACUGCCCUUAAAACGCAGGUCCUUUAUUUUCAAGUCCUGAUACGAUAGGCAGCACGGAGGGUAAGUGUGGUUUACGAGGAUUUUCGUUCUUAAGGAAGUCGGGAGAGAAGGAAUGAGGUCGCGCUUCCCGUCCACGCCCGCCGCGUCCCCUGCGCUCUGCGCCUUUCUUCUCCCCUCCCCCCAGCCCCAUCCCUCUGCCCCCUCUUGCUCUUUCCUUUCCUCACUUCUGCAGCAUCUCGAUUUCCUUUUCGUGGUGGUGGGAUUCUUUUCAUCGUUAUUGUUUUAAAUUAACGAACAGUUUAAUUUUCUUUUUUAAACGAAAGUUAAAAGUGGCCUCUCUGUCUCCCCAGAUCCUUUUGGACGCAGGGUGCGCAUCCAUCUGUCGGUCCUUCCGGGCUGCAGACAAGGUCGCCGCGGGCCCCCAGGAGUACUUUUAACUUUCGCCUUACUCGCCCGUCCUGACGUCACGGCCUGAGGUACAGCUCGGUCUGCAGAGGAGGAGAGGAAGACGGCACAUCCUGGAACCCAGCCCAAUCAGAGGGAAUCUGCCCACCCUUAGGACAGGUGCCUCUCUCUUCGGUGGAUCCUUCUCCCUCCUGUUCACAGCCCAACAGGUUCGAGACCCACACCCUUUCUUCUGAUGCCCCAGGUGCUCAUGUGAGUGAAUGUGUCAUGGAGGGAGGCGUGCACUCACACCUCCACAGGCCACUCCCGGGCUAGUCCUGCUUUGAAUUGAGCUCACAGAGGGGAGCAGCCCGGAAGGGGGUGGCCUGGCUGAGCGGCCAGGAGUGAGGGAGCAUGCCCAGACUGAGGCAGCAGGGGCUGCCCAUACACCAGAGUGUGGCAUCAUACCUGGACACACAACUGGUAUGUGUGACCUCAUUCUGCAAAAGUCUUGGACACAUCCUCACACCUGCAUGCAGUGACCACGCACAGGGUGCACUCACCUCUGACCCGGCCACCCUCCCACCCAAGAGGAUCCCUUCAGAAAGUUCGAUUAACUUCACAGCGCUCUCAUAAGCAUAUCCUCAUCCUGGAACAUGCAGUUGGUGUGUGACCUUUCACCCAGACACCCAGACUCCUACCUGGGUGACAGACGGAACACCAAUAGCAUAUGCUCACGCACAUGUGCCUUCGCUCCUGCACGGACCUAACCCUGCUCCAGGUCUGGCCCCUGCAGGCGGCUGGACUCUGGGCAGAGAAAGCCAGACCUCCCGUACAAAUGAGGCAGCGGAGGACAGAAAGCCCGUCUUCACAAUCACACACGGACACACUCACUCACGCAGGUCCUCUUAGCUCAGAAUCAUUUGCUGAUGCCUCUGCUGUGCAAGGGGCUGGGAGCCCCGGGUGAGCGCUCCCAGCCACGCACGGAAGUCCACCCACCAGUGUUCGCGGCUGGCCCCAUCCCCGAUGCUUUCGCCCAGGCGAAGGUGGGGUCCAAAGGGAUGGCCGUGGUGGAGACCCGGAGUGAGGCUGGAGUCAGAGGCUGAGGGUGCACAGGGGGCUGGAGGCAUGGCUUGGUGGCGCUGAGUAGGAGCCGGGCCAGGGGCGCUGACGGGGGACCCGGGAGGCAUUGACUUUUGCGCUGUUUGCCGGCGGCCUCGGAGCAAGCAGACGCCAUCUGUUCGCCGGCUGCGGCGCGUCCCGUUUAAUUACCCUCCCGGCAGCCUAAUAGAGAUGAUAUUAAACUAAA